rnacentral:rRNA from 1 species
UACGGAGGGUGCGAGCGUUGUCCGGAAUCAUUGGGCGUAAAGGGCGCGUAGGUGGCCCGGUCAGUUCGUGGUGAAAGCGCGGGGCUCAACUCCGCGUCGGCCAUCGAAUACUGCUGGGCUGGAGCACUGUAGAGGCAGGCGGAAUCCGGGUGUAGCGGUGGAAUGCGUAGAGAUCCGGAAGAACACCGGUGGCGAAGGCGGCCUGACGG